UUCGCAAUGCCCGAAAGGGUGACGAAGCGACGCCGCGUGAGUGAGGAAGGCCUUCGGGUUGUAAAGCUCUGUCAGGAGUUAAGAAAUGUACGUGUGCUAAUACCACAUGUAUUUGACGAAGGCUCCAAAGGAAGCCACGGCUAACUCUGUGCCAGCAGCCGCGGUAAUACAGAGGUGGCAAGCGUUGUUCGGAAUUAUUGGGCGUAAAGAGCACGUAGGUGGGCUUGUAAGUCAGAUGUGAAAGCCUUCUGUUCAACGGAAGAAUUGCAUCUGAAACUGCGAGUCUUGAGUGUAGGAGGGGAGAAUGGAACUUCUGGUGGAGCGGUGAAAUGCGUAGAUAUCAGAAGGAACGCCGGCGGCGAAAGCGAUUCUCUGGCCUAUUACUGACACUCAGUGUGCGAAAGCUAGGGGAGCAAACGGGAUUAGAUACCCCGGUAGUCCUAGCCGUAAACGAUGGGCACUAAGUAGAGGGGUUUU
rnacentral:rRNA from 1 species